ensembl:miRNA microRNA 99a
UGAUGGUGCCAAUUGGCAUAAACCCGUAGAUCCGAUCUUGUGGUAAAGUACAUUGCACAAGCUCGCUUCUAUGGGUCUGUGUCACUCUGGUGAUCUGGC